GAUGAACGCUGGCGGCGUGCCUAAUACAUGCAAGUCGAGCGAACAGACGAGGAGCUUGCUCCUCUGACGUUAGCGGCGGACGGGUGAGUAACACGUGGAUAACCUACCUAUAAGACUGGGAUAACUUCGGGAAACCGGAGCUAAUACCGGAUAAUAUAUUGAACCGCAUGGUUCAAUAGUGAAAGACGGUUUUGCUGUCACUUAUAGAUGGAUCCGCGCCGCAUUAGCGAGUUGGUAAGGUAACGGCUUACCAAGGCAACGAUGCGUAGCCGACCUGAGAGAGUGGUCGGCCACACUGGAACUGAGACACGGUCCAGGCUCCUACGGGAUGCAGCAGUAGGGAAUCUUCCGCAAUGGGCGAAAGCCUGACGGAGCAACGCCGCGUGGGUGAUGAAGGUCUUCGGAUCGUAAAACUCUGUUAUUAGGGAAGAACAAAUGUGUAAGUAACUAUGCACGUCUUGACGGUACCUAAUCAGAAAGCCACGGCUAGCUACGUG
rnacentral:rRNA from 1 species